UACGAAGGGGGCUAGCGUUGCUCGGAAUGACUGGGCGUAAAGAGCGUGUAGGCGGCCCGGUAAGUCCGCUGUGAAAGUCGGGGGCUCAACCCUCGAAUGCCGGUGGAUACUGUCGGGCUAGAGUGCGGAAGAGGCGAGUGGAAUUCCUGGUGUAGCGGUGAAAUGCGCAGAUAUCAGGAGGAACACCAAUUGCGAAGGCAGCUCGCUGGGACGUAACUGACGCUGAGACGCGAAAGCGUGGGGAGCAAACAGG
rnacentral:rRNA from 1 species